rnacentral:rRNA from 1 species
AUUGAACGCUGGCGGCAUGCCUUACACAUGCAAGUCGAACGACGCCAGGGGGCAACUCCUGGCGAGUGGCAAACGGGUGAGUAAUACAUCGGAACGUAUCCCGUCGUGGGGGACAACCAGUCGAAAGACUGGCUAAUACCGCAUGAGAUCGAAAGAUGAAAGCGGGGGAUCCGCAAGGACCUCGCGAGAUGGGAGCGGCCGAUGGCGGAUUGGCUAGUUGGCGGGGUAAAAGCCCACCAAGGCGACGAUCCGUAGCUGGUUUGAGAGAACGACCAGCCACACUGGGACUGAGACACGGCCCAGACUCCUACGGGAGGCAGCAGUGGGGAAUUUUGGACAAUGGGCGCAAGCCUGAUCCAGCCAUGCCGCGUGUGUGAAGAAGGCCUUCGGGUUGUAAAGCACUUUCGGACGGAACGAAAUCGCGCGGGCGAAUACUCCGCGUGGAUGACGGUACCGUAAGAAGAAGCACCGGCUAACUACGUGCCAGCCGCCGCCGUAA